rnacentral:rRNA from 1 species
AGAGUUUGAUCCUGGCUCAGGAUAAACGCUGGCGGCGUGCAUGAGACAUGCAAGUCAAACGGACGAUCAGGGCUUGCUCUGGUCGUUAGUGGCGGACGGCUGAGUAACGCGUGGGUGACCUGCCCCGAAGUGGGGAAUAACUGCCCGAAAGGGUGGCUAAUACCGCAUGUGGUGGUGCGUUCGUUCGCACCAGUAAAGCCGCAAGGCGCUUCGGGAGGGGCCUGCGUCCGAUUAGCUCGUUGGUGGGGUAACGGCUCACCAAGGCGACGAUCGGUAGGUGGUCUGAGAGGACGAUCACCCAGACUGGGACUGAGACACGGCCCAGACUCCUACGGGAGGCAGCAGUCGGGAAUUUUGCUCAAUGGGCGAAAGCCUGAAGCAGCAACGCCGCGUGAGGGAUGAAGGCCUUCGGGUUGUAAACCUCUUUUUUCAGGGACGAUAAUGACGGUACCUGACGAAUAAGUCACGGCUAACUACGUGCCAGCAGCCGCGGUAAUACGUAGGUGACAAGCGUUGUCCGGAUUUACUGGGCGUAAAGAGCGCGCAGGCGGUCGAUUUAGUCGAGUGUGAAAGCCCCCGGCUCAACUGGGGAGGGUCACUCGAUACUGAUCGACUCGAAGGCGGGAGAGGGAAGCGGAAUUCCCGGUGUAGUGGUGAAAUGCGUAGAUAUCGGGAGGAACACCAGUGGCGAAGGCGGCUUCCUGGCCCGUUCUUGACGCUGAGGCGCGAAAGCUAGGGGAGCAAACGGGAUUAGAUACCCCGGUAGUCCUAGCCGUAAACGAUGGACACUAGGUGUUGGUGGUAUCAACCCCGCCAGUGCCGAAGCUAACGCAUUAAGUGUCCCGCCUGGGGAGUACGGCCGCAAGGCUAAAACUCAAAGGAAUUGACGGGGGCCC